rnacentral:rRNA from 1 species
GAUGAACGCUGGCGGCGUGCCUAAUACAUGCAAGUCGAGCGAACAGAUGAGGAGCUUGCUCCUCUGACGUUAGCGGCGGACGGGUGAGUAACACGUGGAUAACCUACCUAUAAGACUGGGAUAACUUCGGGAAACCGGAGCUAAUACCGGAUAAUAUAUUGAACCGCAUGGUUCAAUAGUGAAAGACGGUUUUGCUGUCACUUAUAGAUGGAUCCGCGCCGCAUUAGCUAGUUGGUAAGGUAACGGCUUACCAAGGCGACGAUGCGUAGCCGACCUGAGAGGGUGAUCGGCCACACUGGAACUGAGACACGGUCCAGACUCCUACGGGAGGCAGCAGUAGGGAAUCUUCCGCAAUGGGCGAAAGCCUGACGGAGCAACGCCGCGUGAGUGAUGAAGGUCUUCGGAUCGUAAAACUCUGUUAUUAGGGAAGAACAAAUGUGUAAGUAACUAUGCACGUCUUGACGGUACCUAAUCAGAAAGCCACGGAUAACUACGUG